rnacentral:RNase_P_RNA from 1 species
UUGGCAAACCCCACCCGGAGCAAGGCCAAAUAGGGGAGCGAUGGCGUGGCCCGCGCCGCUCCCGGGUUCGGCCGCUGGAGACGUCGGGUAACCGGCGCCCUAGAGAAAUGAUCGUCACCCCGGGCGGGAAACUGCUCGGGGCCACAGGACCCGGCUUACAGGCCUUCUCUGGCG